rnacentral:lncRNA from 1 species
GAAAAAUUUCUUUUCUUAUAGCUGUAGGAUUGAUGGCAAUGUGCUUCUUCAAAGCUAGCAAGGGAUAGAGAGAGGGACCCCAGUAGGACUGUUGCUAUACUUUUAUGUAUCACAUACAAGUAAUCUAAAUCCCAUUGCCUUUGGCACAUUCAUUUCACUUAAGCAAGCCAUAGGUCUUGCUCACACUCAAGAGGAGAGGAUUAUAUAAUGGCAUUAAUCCCAGGAAGUGGGAAUCAUAUGAGAAAUUUUUUCUCUCUGGCCUGGAGACUGAUAAUUUUAAAUAGAGUUUAACAAUCUGAACAUAUAGAUAAAUUCCCAAGAUUCUAGGUGAACAGGCAAUUGCCAGAAUAUGUCGUCUGCUACUUUCUCCGUCUUACAAAAUAUCAAAUAUGGAGGACUCCACACAAACCUCCUAUAACUUAUCAAUUACAUUUUAUUUAGUCCUAUAUAAGUUUCAAAAUUUCUAAAAUUACUCAAAGCAAAGAUACAAACCUAUGAGUCAGAUCUUACCCAUGAUGUGAAGUGAGACCUUUAUGAAAAAUCUGUGUAGUGGUAAGCAGGUGAGAGAAUUUUCUAUUUGUCCUAUUUUCCUUUUCCAAUAUCAAUUACAAAUAUGUACCUAGU